CCUACGGGUAGCAGCAGUCGAGAAUCAUUCACAAUGGGGGAAACCCUGAUGGUGCGACGCCGCGUGGGGGAAUGAAGGUCUUCGGAUUGUAAACCCCUGUCAUGUGGGAGCAAAUUAAAAAGAUCGUACCACAAGAGGAAGAGACGGCUAACUCUGUGCCAGCAGCCGCGGUAAUACAGAGGUCUCAAGCGUUGUUCGGAAUCACUGGGCGUAAAGCGUGCGUAGGCUGUUUCGUAAGUCGUGUGUGAAAGGCGCGGGCUCAACCCGCGGACGGCACAUGAUACUGCGAGACUAGAGUAAGGGAGGGGGAACCGGAAUUCUCGGUGUAGCAGUGAAAUGCGUAGAUAUCGAGAGGAACACUCGUGGCGAAGGCGGGUUCCUGGACAUUAACUGACGCUGAGGCACGAAGGCCAGGGGAGCGAAAGGGAUUAGAUACCCCAGUAGUC
rnacentral:rRNA from 1 species